rnacentral:rRNA from 1 species
CACGCCGUAAACGAUGGGCACUAGGUGUGGGAGGUGUCGACUCCUUCCGUGCCGUAGCUAACGCAUUAAGUGCCCCGCCUGGGGAGUACGGCCGCAAGGCUAAAACUCAAAGGAAUUGACGGGGGCCCGCACAAGCAGCGGAGCAUGUUGUUUAAUUCGACGCAACGCGAAGAACCUUACCUGGGUUUGACAUGACCGUGUAACUCCUGGAAACAGGAGCCCCUAGCAAUAGGCACGGCCACAGGUGG